GUGGGGAAUUUUGGACAAUGGGCGAAAGCCUGAUCCAGCCAUGCCGCGUGCAGGAUGAAGGCCUUCGGGUUGUAAACUGCUUUUGUACGGAACGAAAAGACUCCUUCUAAUAAAGGGGGUCCAUGACGGUACCGUAAGAAUAAGCACCGGCUAACUACGUGCCAGCAGCCGCGGUAAUACGUAGGGUGCAAGCGUUAAUCGGAAUUACUGGGCGUAACGCGUGCGCAGGCGGUUAUAUAAGACAGAUGUGAAAUCCCCGGGCUCAACCUGGGAACUGCAGUGGUAACUGUAUAGCUAGAGUACGGUAGAGGGGGAUGGAAUUCCGAGUGUAGCAGUGAAAUGCGUAGAUAGGCGGAGGAACACCGAUGGCGAAGGCAAUCCCCUGGACCUGUACUGACGCUCAUGCACGAAAGCGUGGGGAGCAAACAGGAUUAGAAACCCGUGUAGUCC
rnacentral:rRNA from 1 species